rnacentral:lncRNA from 1 species
AUUUGUUGACUUUGCCUCCACCUUCAGCAGCUUCUCGAUCACGCAUUCUCCAUUCCCAUCUCCUUCGCUGCUUUCCUUCUCGGCCACUUCUGCUUUUCAUUUUUUUCAUUCGACGAAGUUCGGUCUCCCUCAAAUUCUCUCUCUCUCUCUCUCUCCGUGUAUUUCCCUCACGCCAGCAUCCCCAUCCCACCGUAAACCCUCAUUUCUUUCUCCACCUCACGCCCACGCAUCCGAGUCUCCAUCCUCCUCAGUCAACUCCAGCAUCUUGAAGACCAUCGACUUCUCCAUCGAGUUUUGUCGGCCACAGAAUCCAUUCACCACUGCAGCAACCGAUCAGCACUUCGGCCUCAAGAAGUUGACUCCGUUCCUCUCACCCGUGGCCACGUCUCGCCUCAAAUCGAAGACCAACCCUGCUCCACUGCUGAGUCUUCAUUUCCUUCGGUCUUCACGUCUGCCGCUUCAUUGGUUCCUUCGCUGUUGGUGUCUCCAUCUUACUGCGUGAGACCGACCGAAGCAGCACACGCCCGCGCAGCAACUCCACGCGGCCAACGUUCAGCUGUUCCUCGAGUCUUCCGUGUGUGCAGCCAACCGAAGCUUUUUCCGCUCGCCGAAGCAAGAUGCCAGCGAGCCGUUUCUCCAUCCAGCUCGGCCCAGAAACAGUCCACGAAAAUUUCAGCUCCUUCUUGGGUUCUUGUUCGGCCUAGCUCCUCCAACACAAGCCCAUCAGCCCACACGAAUCAAGCUCUAGUCCAUUUUCUGCCGCAGCCCAUCCACGAAGACAGCCCAAGUGAAAUUUAGAUUAUUUCAGCCCAAGAAAAAUUGCAGCAGCCCAAGUCUUUGGCCCAUCAACUCCAGCAGCCCACUUGAAGCCCAAGAAGCAGGCCCAAGCCCAAGUCUAAGCCCAGAAAUUUCUGUGGGCUUGCAAGAUUUUGGGCCCAGUCCGAGUAUCCACCGACGCUGCUGAAAAGUUGGAUUUUGGCCGCCGUCGCGGUGAUCUAGUCUCCACUUUUAAUCAAGUGAGUUUUCUCACUAAUCCCUUAUUAGUCAGUUAAUUAUGCUUAUGUGUUGAUUAGAUUUAAUUAAGUGCAAUUAGGUGGAUAGAUUAGAUUAGAGUAAUCAAAUUAGAGACUUAUCAAUGCAUGUUAGGCAUAUGGUUAGUGUAACUAGCAAGGAAAUAGGUCCUAGUAUUUAUUGAACGAGUUUCGGUAAUUUUCUGGGCUCAUAUCGGCUUCCAAUCAGGCAUUAUGGGCCUAAGUUAGAUUUAUUGCAUUUAUUUAUUAUUUUCCGUAAUUAUUUUCCAGAAAUUAGGCUGGAAUAGCUGAUGACUAGAAUUUCGUGCUGAUUACGGUAGUGCUCUCUAUUUAUUUAAUUGAGUAUUGGUUUGUGAAAAUUGAAUGUGAUUGGUGGUUAUGGGGAUUUAUCUCAAAAUUGGAAAAUGUUGUUAUUUGAAGGGAAAAUAACCGUGUGAGGUUGUGAGUUUAAUAGAUAAUUGUCAAGUGGGGCCGUGAUGCCACCAAGUCGAGAAAAUUGCCAGGUGAGGCCGUGAUGCCAUCAAGUCGAGAAAAUUGCCAAGUGGGGCUAUGAUGCCACCAAGUCAAGAAAAUUGCCAGGUGGGGUGAUGCCGAUAAGUCUAAAAUUGCCAAGUGGGGCCGUGAUACCACUAAAGUCUAAACUUGCCAAGUGGGGCCGUGAUUCCACUAAUUAAAAAUUAUGCUUGUAGGGCCAUGAUUCAAAAUCGAGAAUGAAUAAUUGAAACGACCAGGAGUGGUUUUGUUGACAUGUAAUCGACUGAGUUAAUUGAUCGAUGACUCGAUCUGAUUGAUUGGAUGCUAUGAUUGUCAGUAUUUAUUAUUUGAAUUGACUUGCAGGAAGGAAACUGAGGCCAAGGUAAGCCCUCUGACCCGUGAUGUGCUUAGGCAGCCCUUAGGGCGUAUUUUCUUAUAAUCGGGUCUUAGGGAGCAAAACUUGCUAAAACGUUAUCUCACUGGUUAUUGAAUAACUAUUUUCAGGUCCUUAGACGAUGUUCAUGGAGGACUUGAAGUCGUGGAGUUUAGGGAAGUGAAGGAAGCAGAAUCGACAAAUCUGUUUGACUCGCUAGUCAUAGGAUAGUACCUUUUUGAUUAAGCCGAUAAUUUUGUUAGCGACCUCAUGAUGUAAAUAAACUUAUGUGUUUAUAAAAAGUUGGUUUUGGUUUGAAAAAUUUAUGGCCCUACUUUCCUAUCACAUUAUUUUAUUAUCUGGGGAUUUAUAUUUGCUUCCGCAUGCAUAUAUUAAACAAAUGAGUCAGUGAUGCAUCCUAGGACAUUGCUAUUAUAUUUACC